rnacentral:rRNA from 1 species
UACGUAGGGGGCAAGCGUUGUCCGGAAUCAUUGGGCGUAAAGCGCGCGUAGGCGGCCCGGUAAGUCCGCUCUGAAAGUCCAGGGCUCAACCCUGGAAUGCGGGUGGAUACUGCCGGGCUCGAGUCCGGAAGAGGCGAGUGGAAUUCCUGGUGUAGCGGUGAAAUGCGCAGAUAUCAGGAAGAACACCCGUGGCGAAGGCGGCCAGCCUAGACCAGUUCUGACACUGAGGCGCGACAGCGUGGGGAGCAAACAGG